rnacentral:tRNA from 1 species
GCCUGGUUGGCUCAGUCGGUUAAGCGUCCGACUUUGGCUCAGGUCAUGAUCUCAUAGUCCAUGAUCUCACAGUCCGUGAGUUCGAGCCCCGCAUCAGGCU